GACGAACGCUGGCGGCGUGCCUAAUACAUGCAAGUAGAACGCUGAAGGAGGAGCUUGCUUCUCUGGAUGAGUUGCGAACGGGUGAGUAACGCGUAGGUAACCUGCCUGGUAGCGGGGGAUAACUAUUGGAAACGAUAGCUAAUACCGCAUAAGAGUAGAUGUUGCAUGACAUUUACUUAAAAGGUGCAAUUGCAUCACUACCAGAUGGACCCGCGUUGUAUUAGCUAGUUGGUGAGGUAACGGCUCACCAAGGCAACGAUACAUAGCCGACCUGAGAGGGUGAUCGGCCACACUGGGACUGAGACACGGCCCAGACUCCUACGGGAGGCAGCAGUAGGGAAUCUUCGGCAAUGGACGGAAGUCUGACCGAGCAACGCCGCGUGAGUGAAGAAGGUUUUCGGAUCGUAAAGCUCUGUUGUAAGAGAAGAACGAGUGUGAGAGUGGAAAGUUCACACUGUGACGGUAUCUUACCAGAAAGGGACGGCUAACUACGUG
rnacentral:rRNA from 1 species